rnacentral:rRNA from 1 species
GUAACACGUGAGUGACCUGCCUUUUAGACUGGAACAACUUACCGAAAGGUGAGCUAAUGCCGGAUGAGUUAUAUAAGUGCAUGUUUAUAUAGGAAAAGUUGGGGAGACCUGACGCUGAAAGAUGGACUCGCGUCCCAUUAGCUAGUUGGUAGGGUAAUGGCCUACCAAGGCGACGAUGGGUAGCCGGCCUGAGAGGGUGGCCGGCCACACUGGGACUGAGACACGGCCCAGACUCCUACGGGAGGCAGCAGUGGGGAAUUUUGCGCAAUGCUCGUAAGAGUGACGCAGCGACGCCGCGUGAAUGACGAAGGCCUUCGGGUCGUAAAGUUCUUUCGACAGGGAAGAAAAUGCCUAUAAGUAACUGUGUAUGUAUUGACGGUACCUGUAUAAGCAGCCCCGGCUAACUCCGUGCCAGCAGCCGCGGUAAUACGGAGGGGGCGAGCGUUGUUCGGAGUGACUGGGCGUAAAGAGCACGUAGGCGGUGUUGUAAGUCAUUAGUCAAAGACUAGAGCCCAACUUUAGUAAGGCUAGUGAUACUAUAAUACUAGAGUAUCAGAGAGGAUUGCAGAAUUCCUGGUGUAGCGGUGAAAUGCGUAGAUAUCAGGAGGAAUACCGUUAGCGAAGGCGGCAAUCUGGCUGGAAACUGACGCUGAGGUGCGAAAGCGUGGGUAGCAAACAGGAUUAGAUACCCUGGUAGU